UACGGGGGGGGCAAGCGUUGUUCGGAAUUACUGGGCGUAAAGGGCUCGUAGGCGGCCAACUAAGUCAGACGUGAAAUCCCUCGGCUUAACCGGGGAACUGCGUCUGAUACUGGAUGGCUUGAAUCCGGGAGAGGGAUGCGGAAUUCCAGGUGUAGCGGUGAAAUGCGUAGAUAUCUGGAGGAACACCGGUGGCGAAGGCGGCCUGCUGGGCAGUUGCUGACACUGAGGCGCGACAGCGUGGGGAGCAAACAGG
rnacentral:rRNA from 1 species